GGCUGCCUUUCCGCCCCCAUCGCACCUGCCUGUGAUGCCCAGGGCGGUCAGGCUGCAGCGCCAGGGCACAUGCUUGCACAUUACUGGGGCCAACUGCUCCCACAGCAGCAUUCCUUUUAACUGUGAGCAACAUAG